rnacentral:rRNA from 1 species
AGUUUUGAGCUAAAUAUAUUUAUAAUAUUAGUUAUUUAUGAAGGUGUUGUAAAACCUUUAUUUAAAAUUAUAUUUAGGGGUGAUAGGCCUUUCAAAAACUAAGAUAUCUUGAAUCUAAUUAAAAGUAUGUAGUACAAUUAACACAACUAUUAAGUGAUUAGGCUUUAUAGAAUUAUUAACCUAUAAGAUUUUAUUUACUAUAAUUUAAUAAUUAAGUAUAUAAAUAUAUUAAUAUACAUAUAUUAUAGUUUAUAAAAGAGUAAUUAGAUAAAUUAAAGUUUAUAUUUUUUAUAAUAAUGUUAAUAUUAGUAUUAAGUUUAUAUUUAUAUGAUGAACUCGGCAAAAAUACUUCUCAACUGUUUAUCAAAAACAUAACUAUGUGAAUGAAUACAUAGCGGUUUCUGCUCAA